UAAACAAUGUUGAUGACAUGACGU
rnacentral:miRNA from 1 species